CAGCAGCCACGGUAAUACGUAGGGAGCAAGCGUUGUUCGGAUUUACUGGGCGUAAAGGGCGCGUAGGCGGCGCGGUAAGUCACUUGUGAAAUCUCUGAGCUUAACUCAGAACGGCCAAGUGAUACUGCUGUGCUAGAGUGCGGAAGAGGCAACCGGAAUUCUUGGUGUAGCGGUGAAAUGCGUAGAUAUCAAGAGGAACACCUGAGGCGAAGGCGGGUUGCUGGGCCGACACUGACGCUGAUGCGCGAAAACCAGGGGAGCAAACAGGAUUAGAUACCCCCGUAGUCCCUGUCUCUUAUAC
rnacentral:rRNA from 1 species